AUUGAACGCUGGCGGCAGGCCUAACACAUGCAAGUCGAACGAGUGGCGGACGGGCGAGUAAUGUCUGGGCAACUGCCUGAUGGAGGGGGAUAACUACUGGAAACGGUGGCUACUACCGCAUACCAUCAGAUGGGCCCAGAUGGGAUUAGCUUGUGGGUGGGGUAACGGCUCACCAAGGCGACGAUCCCUAGCUGGUCUGAGAGGAUGACCAGCCACACUGGGACUGAGACACGGUCCAGACUCCUACGGGAGGCAGCAGUAGGGAAUAUUGCACAAUGGGCGCAAGCCUGAUGCAGCAAUGCCGCGUGUGUGAAGAAGGCCUUCGGAUUGUAAAGUUCUUUCGGCAGGGAAGCGGUACCCAAAGAGAAAGCAACGGCUAACUCCGUGCCAGCAGCCGCGGUAAUUC
rnacentral:rRNA from 1 species